AAACACGAUUCCUUAGUACGGCGAGUGAACCGGGAAAAGCUCAAAUUUGUAAUCUGGCUGUCUUCGAUAGUCCGAGUUGUAAUCUAUAGACGUGUUUUCCGUGCUGGACCGUAUCUAAGUCCCUUGGAACAGGGUAUCAAAGAGGGUGACAAUCCCGUGCUUGAUACGACCACCAGUGCUCUGUGAUACACGCUCUACGAGUCGAGUUGUUUGGGAAUGCAGCUCAAAAUGGGUGGUAAAUUCCAUCUAAAGCUAAAUAUUGGCGAGAGACCGAUAGCGAACAAGUACCGUGAGGGAAAGAUGAAAAGCACUUUGGAAAGAGAGUUAAACAGUACGUGAAAUUGUUGAAAGGGAAACGAUUGAAGUCAGUCGUGUUCUUUGGAUUCAGCUAGUUCUUCUAGUCUACUUCCUUUGAACGGGUCAACAUCAGUUUUGUCCGGUGGAUAAAGAUAGUAGGAAUGUAGCUCCCUCGGGAGUGUUAUAGACUAUUAUUGCAUGCACUGGGUGAGACUGAGGACUGCAGCUCGCCUUUUGGCCGACCUUCGGGUACGUUCGAGCUUAGGAUGUUGACAUAAUGGCUUUAAACGACCCGUCUUGAAA
rnacentral:rRNA from 1 species